UUUUUUUUUUUUUUGGGUUUUUUUUGCACAUUGAAACAGAACAAAACUCCAAAAUGCUGCUCUGGAUCUCGCCAAAAGGGAGAGGAUAAAUUUGGGAAAAUGGCUUUUUAUCCAUGUAACUGUAAAUACAAAACCUAAAUGCCAAAUUCCAAAACCUAAAUUCCAAAAAUCCAAAACCUAUAUUCCAAAAUGGCCCUUGGGGGUGACCAGGAGGAAUUUUGGGGGUGCAGAGCUGGACCAUGGGGUCCUGGCGGGUUUUGGGCCCCAUAUAAAAAUAAAGAAUAAAAUACAAAUGCAAAAUAAAAACAAAAACCAAAUAGACCAGAGCUCAAUGGGAGGAUGAAAUCUCAUUUUUCAUCAUCCCACAAACCCAAAAAACGCCAAAAAUCACCCAAAAUCAACCAAACCCAAGCAGGAAGCCAUCCAGCAGCCAUCUGUGCCACCUUGGCAUCUCCCAGGAUGGGAUGUACAAAAAAUAAAAAUAACAACAAAUAAAACAACAACAACAACAACAAAAAUACAUAUUGUACAGGCUACGUUGUAAACAGCACAAAAAAAUAAUAAAAAAACCAAAAAAAAAAAAAAGGAAAAAAAAUAGCUGAAAAGUGUGGUUGAACUUUUUAAGAGAAUAUUAUAAAUACUGUAAUAUAUCAUUUUAUUUUAUUGGCAUGCCUUUUUGUAAAUACAAAAAGAACUACAAAAAAAAUUAUAGAAUGGCUUCUGGCUUAUGCCAUUGUCCAUGGUUAUUUUUAUUUUUUUAAGACUUUUCUGUUCUCCUUAGAUUUUAGAUAGCCAGGAAAUGCCCCCCAAAAGGGAACAAAAAAACACGAAAAAAUUCCAAACAAAAUCCCAAACCCUUCAAAAUAGAUUUUAACAAAAGCUUUAUUGCAAGUGGUAUUUGCAGCAGCAAAAAAAAAAUGUUAUUUUUUGGGUUCCAAUGUGCAAUAAGUCGACCACUUCUAUGCAAGAUUUGGCUGAAAUUUCAUAAUUGUCCUUAGGCUCGGUGCGUUGGCGUUUGUGCUGGCAACUCAUGAAGCUGCUCAACGACUUUCCAAUAAAAAAUCCCUUCCAACUCUGAA
ensembl:lncRNA